rnacentral:lncRNA from 1 species
GGGACCCUGACUUGGCCCUGGGGCCUUGUGAGGUUCAAGGGCGGUAUUUGUUUCCCUACUACUUUUGGAUGGCACGUCUUUCACCCUUCAGCACUGUCUGAGAGCACAACUGAGCAGUUGGAGGUGAGUGAGGAUGGGGAAGAAAAGAUGUUGAAGAAAGCUCAGCCCCAGGGAAUUUGGUUUGGAAGGCAGUAGCUCUACAUAUGAAUCUUCAUCUGUAUGAUCGCUAAUGGUGCAGGAGAAAUUUGGAACGAUGCAGAAGUCUGCGGGAUCUCGGGAUGCUAAUAGAUCUGGUGUCCUGCUUGUGUGUUUCAAGUGGAGACAAUUUUGA